GCGCUUCCAACGACGACGUUCCGUCCCUAUAUUCCGACUCGUCCGGGCAACCGGACUAUGGCGAUAAACGCGCAGAGAUAGGCGGAUCGGACCCGGGUGCGAUGCCCGGCGGCUCCACCAUCAGGGGUUAGAAGCCAGAAAUCAGUAGUCAGAAGGCGCAUUUCUGAUUUCUGGGUUCGGGUUUCUGACACCUGAUGAAGGGGCCGAAAUAGGAUCGACGGACGUUGAAGGCUGAUGCUUUUGCUCGGGUGGUCCCGAUACAGGCCAAACAGCAUAGUUGCCAAUGACAACCACGCUGAGGAAUUCGCCCUCGCUGCGUAAGCAGUGCGGAGUUUUCCGAACCUAAGUCCUACUGAGUAGCAUCACUAGGCGGGGCCCCCCGGCGCCCGGCAACAGAAGCCGGGGAUU
rnacentral:tmRNA from 1 species